AGGAGCCGUGUAACGAGAGAUCGUUCCGCACGGUUCUGUGAGAGCCGAGGGGUGAGAUUCCCCUCGGCUACUCGGC
rfam:Streptomyces roseochromogenes subsp. oscitans DS 12.976 chromosome, whole genome shotgun sequence.